rnacentral:tRNA from 1 species
GGAUUGUGGCUCAGUGGUAGAGCACUCGCCUAGCACGGGCGGGAGCUGGGUUCGAUUCUCAGCACCA